GACGUAGGGCGCGAGCGUUGUCCGGAUUUAUUGGGCGUAAAGAGCUCGUAGGCGGCUUGUCGCGUCGACCGUGAAAACUUGGGGCUCAACCCCAAGCCUGCGGUCGAUACGGGCAGGCUAGAGUUCGGUAGGGGAGACUGGAAUUCCUGGUGUAGCGGUGAAAUGCGCAGAUAUCAGCAGGAAUACCCGUGGCGAAGGCGGCCCCCUGGGCCGAACCUGACGCUGAGGCGCGAAGGCUAGGGGAGCGAACGGG
rnacentral:rRNA from 1 species